AGCACGUAUGACUAUCUUGUUUUAACAAUAUUUGUAAAAUAUAUUUAUGAUAUUCAUCAGUUUAUCAAAAUGUACGGUUAAUAAUUAAUUAGUUCUUAUGGUCACACUGGGUAAAACUUAGGACGUCCAUUUUAAUUUUAUGAUCGAAAAAUACAAUAUUUAGUGGAAAAACUGGACUCACCAUGGAUUAUAAGUGUCUUGAGUAGUAUAAAAGUGCAUUAUUUCUUUGUAUUGGUUAUUGAAACUAAAAUGGACCAACUAAACUAAACUGGUUCAAGGUAAAAAUAUUUCGAAUCGUUAUUUGGCCGCUUAAGGCACUCCAGAACUCGAACACGCGUCUUACUCACCUGACUUGGCACCCUGCGAUUUUUACUUGUUUCCGAAGAUAAAGUCUGCCUUAAAAGGAAUCCGGUUUGAGUCGAUGGAAGAGGUGAAACAAAAAUCGGCGGAACUCCUGAAUGGUCUUAUGAAAACAGACUUCUAGCACUGGACCUCGAGCAACGGAAGAAACGAAUGAAACGG